AGACUCUGAACCUUCAGAGUUAUCAAAGACAGAGCUAUAAAUAGAGCUCACAGUGCACAGGGCUGUUCAGCACCACAGUGCUGGGUGGCUCCUCCAGUGCCCCGAAUCUUCAGGACUACGCCCGCAGCCAUGGCAAAAAGCUACCACCUGCCAGUCUGAAGCACCGAGAUAUCCUUCCCGCCAGAAGAAACUUGUAUUGGGAGAUCAACACCAGCUAGUGCGUUUCUCUAUAAAGCCUCAGCGUAUAGAACAGAUUUCACAUGCCCAGAGGCUGUUGAGCAGGCUUCAU
rnacentral:lncRNA from 1 species